rnacentral:lncRNA from 12 species
CUCAAGAGCAGCCCACAGCUCCAACUCUCUAAUAACUCAUUUGGUACUCACAAUUAACUGGACCAAAAUCUUCGUCUUGUUCAAGUCACCAAUGGGAAGAACAGGUCACUCUUGCAAACCUCAUGGAGUUCUGUUUAAAAAAAGAACUCUAGCACCAUCUCUACAGCUGUUGACACGAG